rnacentral:tRNA from 1 species
CUCUCGGUAGCCAAGUUGGUUUAAGGCGCAAGACUGUAAUAUGMACUAGACAUUAAUAAUGUGUAGUUGUAAAGUAAUCUUGAGAUCGGGCGUUCGACUCGCCCCCGAGAGA